rnacentral:rRNA from 1 species
UGUGUAGGCGGUCUCUUAAGUUUGGUGUGAAAUCUCCCGGCUCAACUGGGAGGGUGCGCCGAAUACUGAAAGACUAGAGUGCGGGAGAGGAGAGUGGAAUUCCUGGUGUAGCGGUGAAAUGCGUAGAUAUCAGGAGGAACACCGGUGGUGUAGGCGGCUCUCUGGACCGUAACUGACGCUGAGACACGAAAGCGUGGGUAGCAAACAGGAUUAGAUACCCUGGUAGUCCACGCCCUAAACGAUGCAUAUUUGGUGUGGGCAGUUCAGUCUGUCCGUGCCGGAGCUAACGCGUUAAAUAUGCCGCCUGGGGAGUACAGUCGCAAGGCUGAA